CAACUCAGAGGCUAUGGGCAUUUCAGUUUUCUUCACAGGCAUUAAACAGAACAUUUCUCCCUGGUUUUUCAAUUACACUAAAAUGGUCCAUCAAUCAAAGGACUUGCUUCUCCAAGGGAAUACAAAUGCACUGUGAAUUACAUCACCUCUUCCUGAGGGACGGUCUGCCAAUCCGGAGAGGCUCAGUGUUCAUUCACAUCUGCAAGGGACCAGUGCCUCCCUUCCUUGCCACUGGCCUUUGUAGACCUUCUAAGUCUGACUUCAAAGAGGAACACGGCACCUCCACUAUAGUCACCUCCUCAACCAUCCCUGACAACUGCCAGGGAAGUGUGAUGCUCAGUGAGUAAAUAAAGGCACUCACUGCCAAGCCUGAUGACCUGAGUCGAUCCCUGGAACUGACGCCUAUGAGUUGCCCUCUGACCUAUCCACACAGUGUGUCGUGUGUGGUGCACGUGCGUGUUUACAGGCACAGCUACCACACACACGCACAAUAAAUAAAGUGCAAUAGAAAGAAAUAAA
rnacentral:lncRNA from 1 species